GUAGACGCUGAAGAGAGGAGCUUGCUCUUCUUGGAUGAGUUGCGAACGGGUGAGUAACGCGUAGGUAACCUGCCUUGUAGCGGGGGAUAACUAUUGGAAACGAUAGCUAAUACCGCAUAACAAUGGAUGACACAUGUCAUUUAUUUGAAAGGGGCAAUUGCUCCACUACAAGAUGGACCUGCGUUGUAUUAGCUAGUAGGUGAGGUAACGGCUCACCUAGGCGACGAUACAUAGCCGACCUGAGAGGGUGAUCGGCCACACUGGGACUGAGACACGGCCCAGACUCCUACGGGAGGCAGCAGUAGGGAAUCUUCGGCAAUGGGGGCAACCCUGACCGAGCAACGCCGCGUGAGUGAAGAAGGUUUUCGGAUCGUAAAGCUCUGUUGUAAGUCAAGAACGAGUGUGAGAGUGGAAAGUUCACACUGUGACGGUAGCUUACCAGAAAGGGACGGCUAACUACGUGCCAGCAGCCGCGGUAAUACGUAGGUCCCGAGCGUUGUCCGGAUUUAUUGGGCGUAAAGCGAGCGCAGGCGGUUUGAUAAGUCUGAAGUUAAAGGCUGUGGCUCAACCAUAGUUCGCUUUGGAAACUGUCAAACUUGAGUGCAGAAGGGGAGAGUGGAAUUCCAUGUGUAGCGGUGAAAUGCGUAGAUAUAUGGAGGAACACCGGUGGCGAAAGCGGCUCUCUGGUCUGUAACUGACGCUGAGGCUCGAAAGCGUGGGGAGCGAACAGGAUUAGAUACCCUGGUAGUCCACGCCGUAAACGAUGAGUGCUAGGUGUUGGAUCCUUUCCGGGAUUCAGUGCCGCAGCUAACGCAUUAAGCACUCCGCCUGGGGAGUACGACCGCAAGGUUGAAACUCAAAGGAAUUGACGGGGGCCCGCACAAGCGGUGGAGCAUGUGGUUUAAUUCGAAGCAACGCGAAGAACCUUACCAGGUCUUGACAUCCCGAUGCUAUUUCUAGAGAUAGAAAGUUACUUCGGUACAUCGGUGACAGGUGGUGCAUGGUUGUCGUCAGCUCGUGUCGUGAGAUGUUGGGUUAAGUCCCGCAACGAGCGCAACCCCUAUUGUUAGUUGCCAUCAUUCAGUUGGGCACUCUAGCGAGACUGCCGGUAAUAAACCGGAGGAAGGUGGGGAUGACGUCAAAUCAUCAUGCCCCUUAUGACCUGGGCUACACACGUGCUACAAUGGUUGGUACAACGAGUUGCGAGUCGGUGACGGCAAGCUAAUCUCUUAAAGCCAAUCUCAGUUCGGAUUGUAGGCUGCAACUCGCCUACAUGAAGUCGGAAUCGCUAGUAAUCGCGGAUCAGCACGCCGCGGUGAAUACGUUCCCGGGCCUUGUACACACCGCCCGUCACACCACGAGAGUUUGUAACACCCGAAGUCGGUGAGGUAACCUUUUGGAGCCAG
rnacentral:rRNA from 2 species